UAGGCGUACGGGUGAGUAACACGUGGAUCAUCUACCUUUUAGUGGGGAAUACCGUUGGGAAACCGACGACAAUACCGCAUAAGCCCGAGAGGGGAAAGCAGCAAUGCGCUGAAAGAGGAGUCCGCGGCUGAUUAGCUAGUUGGUAGGGUAAUGGCCUACCAAGGCAUCGAUCAGUAGCCGGCCUGAGAGGGCACACGGCCACACUGGCACUGAAACACGGGCCAG
rnacentral:rRNA from 1 species